AGGACGAACGCUGGCGGCGUGCCUAACACAUGCAAGUCGAGCGAGCCAAUUAACAGAUCCCUUCGGGGUGAAGUUGAGGAAGCUUAGCGGCGGACGGGUGAGUAACGCGUGAGUAACCUGCCUGUAAGAGGGGGAUAACACAGAGAAAUCUGUGCUAAUACCGCAUAUUGAGUAUUUAUCGCAUGGUUCAACUUGAAAGAUUUAUCGCUUAUGGAUGGACUCGCGUCUGAUUAGCUAGUUGGUAAGGUAACGGCUUACCAAGGCGACGAUCAGUAGCCGAACUGAGAGGUUGAUCGGCCACAGUUGGGACUGAGACACGGCCCAGACUCCGUACGGGAGGCAGCAGGUGGGGGAUAUUGCGCAAUGGGGGAAACCCUGACGCAGCAACGCCGCGUGAAGGAAGAAGGUUUUCGGAUUGUAAACUUCUGUUCUUAGGGAAGAAGACAGUGACGGUACCUAAGGAGCAAGCCACGGCUAACUACGUG
rnacentral:rRNA from 1 species